AGACCCGAAACCCGGUGAUCUAGCCAUGGGCAGGUUGAAGGUUGGGUAACACUAACUGGAGGACCGAACCGACUAAUGUUGAAAAAUUAGCGGAUGACCUGUGGCUGGGGGUGAAAGGCCAAUCAAACCGGGAGAUAGCUGGUUCUCCCCGAAAGCUAUUUAGGUAGCGCCUCGUGAAUUCAUCUCCGGGGGUAGAGCACUGUUUCGGCUAGGGGGCCAUCCCGGCUUACCAACCCGAUGCAAACUGCGAAUACCGGAGAAUGUUAUCACGGGAGACACACGGCGGGUGCUAACGUCCGUCGUGAAGAGGGAAACAACCCAGACCGCCAGCUAAGGUCCCAAAGUCAUGGUUAAGUGGGAAACGAUGUGGGAAGGCCCAGACAGCCAGGAUGUUGGCUUAGAAGCAGCCAUCAUUUAAAGAAAGCGUAAUAGCUCACUGGUCGAGUCGGCCUGCGCGGAAGAUGUAACGGGGCUAAACCAUGCACCGAAGCUGCGGCAGCGACACUGUGUGUUGUUGGGUAGGGGAGCGUUCUGUAAGCCUGUGAAGGUGUGUCGUGAGGCAUGCUGGAGGUAUCAGAAGUGCGAAUGCUGACAUAAGUAACGAUAAAGCGGGUGAAAAGCCCGCUCGCCGGAAGACCAAGGGUUCCUGUCCAACGUUAAUCGGGGCAGGGUGAGUCGACCCCUAAGGCGAGGCCGAAAGGCGUAGUCGAUGGGAAACGGGUUAAUAUUCCCGUACUUGGUGUUACUGCGAAGGGGGGACGGAGAAGGCUAUGUUGGCCGGGCGACGGUUGUCCCGGUUUAAGCGUGUAGGUGUGUGUUCCAGGUAAAUCCGGUUCACUUUAACACUGAGGCGUGACGACGAGGCACUACGGUGCUGAAGCAACAAAUGCCCUGCUUCCAGGAAAAGCCUCUAAGCAUCAGGUAACAUCAAAUCGUACCCCAAACCGACACAGGUGGUCAGGUAGAGAAUACCAAGGCGCUUGAGAGAACUCGGGUGAAGGAACUAGGCAAAAUGGUGCCGUAACUUCGGGAGAAGGCACGCUGACACGUAGGUGAAGUGAUUUACUCAUGGAGCUGAAGUCAGUCGAAGAUACCAGCUGGCUGCAACUG
rnacentral:rRNA from 1 species